UUGGAGGGCAAGUCUGGUGCCAGCAGCCGCGGUAAUUCCAGCUCCAAUAGCGUAUAUUAAAGUUGUUGCAGUUAAAAAGCUCGUAGUUGAAUUUCGGGACCAAUAUGUCGGUCGUGCUUCGGUACGUACUUGCAUUAUUGGUUUCUCCCUUCUGAAGAACCAUGAUGUCAUUAAUUUGGUGUCUUGGGGAAUCAGGACUGUUACUUUGAAAAAAUUAGAGUGUUUAAAGCAGGCUCACGCUUGAAUACAUUAGCAUGGAAUAAUGAAAUAGGACGUUCGAUCUUAUUUUGUUGGUUUCUAAGAUUGACGUAAUGAUUAAUAGGGAUAGUUGGGGGCAUUAGUAUUCAAUUGUCAGAGGUGAAAUUCUUGGAUUUAUUGAGGACUAACUACUGCGAAAGCAUUUGCCAAGGAUGUUUUCAUUAAUCAAGAACGAAAGUUAGGGGAUCGAAGACGAUCAGAUACCGUCGUAGUCUUAACCAUAAACUAUGCCGACUAGGGAUCGGAUGAUGUUAAUUUUUUAAUGACUCAUUCGGCGCCUUACGGGAAACCAAAGUGUUUGGGUUC
rnacentral:rRNA from 1 species